rnacentral:rRNA from 1 species
GACGUAGGAUGCGAGCGUUGUCCGGAAUUAUUGGGCGUAAAGCGUACGUAGGCGGUCAUCUAAGUCUGGGGUUAAAGACCAAGGCUCAACCUUGGGAGUGCCCUGGAUACUGGGUGACUGGAGGACGGCAGAGGAAAGUGGAAUUCCCAGUGUAGCGGUGAAAUGCGUAGAUAUUGGGAGGAACACCAGUGGCGAAAGCGACUUUCUGGGCCGUUCCUGACGCUGAGGUACGAAAGCCCGGGGAGCGAACGGG